rnacentral:rRNA from 1 species
AGAGCGGGCAAUUACACCAACACCAAUGACAUCUUACUAUGCAAUACUUGGUUGCAAGUGUCGAGGGAUCCAUCCGUUGGAGGUGAUCAAAGUAGAGAUGCUUAUUGGGGGCGGAUGAAAGAACACUUUAACGUUCGCAACGUGAGUGGAAUUGACCGCUCCGAGAGAUCACUUCAGUCCCGGUGGUCGACAAUCAACUCGGAUUGUCAAAGGUGGGCGGCCGCACAAAAGGCGGUUGACAAGUUGAACCCAAGUGGCACAAAUGAGGACGAUAGAGUAAGUGGAGAGGAGAAGAGAACCAAGAAGGGGAAGAUCAAGAAAGGAAGGAUAUUUACCUUGCCUCAUUGCUAUGAAGUGUUGAAGGACGAUGAGAAAUGGAAGAAGCGUGAUGAUUUGGAUGAUUUGCAUUUGAGCAACAAACGCAAGCGAACAAUUGAGUUGAAUGAUGAUGAUGAGGAGGAGGAUGAUGCAUCAAGUGAUGGCAAGAGAAGCCCCACACCCAACUCGGUUUCAUACUCGAAGCCAAAACGACCGGAUGGGUGCAAGAAAGACGCAAAAGAAAAGAAGAAGAGGAAAGGAGAUGAUGGGCUCAAAAAUGCUAUGAAAGCUAUUGUGAAGGCAAGAAAAGAAGCCAGUGAGGUGAGAAAAAUGGCAAGGAACCAAGAUGUCGCGGCCGAGGAGAGGAGGGUGGCGGCUGAGGAGAGGAAGGUGGCUUUGGAGGAGAGGAAGAUGAGCAAUGAGGAGCGAACUAGAUUGUCGGAAUGGGAGAAGCACUUGUUCUUCUUGGACACAUCUAUCCUCAAUGAGGUGCAAAAGGAGUAUGUCAAUCUUGCCCGUGAAGAAGUCUUG